rnacentral:lncRNA from 1 species
CCACUUGCUCCUUGUUGUUGGAACAGUGAAUUCUAAUGGAUCGCUCAGCCUAUGGUUUUUCCUUUCAGCUUUGAAAACUAAUCUAUUACGUAAAUUUAAAGAAGAAUAUUUAUCAUAACAUUCUCAGGCAGACUAGUCGGCUUAUCAUUACUAAGCUGAAGCAGUUGUAAUUCUACACUGAAAGCUGUAUCUAGUUAUUGACAUGCCAAGCUUAAGUUUUCCAAGUCAUCAAGUCCUGUUUUAUGCAAUCUGCGUUUCAGAAACUAUAGUAGAACAGGAUGGAGAGUAAAGGGAGUAAUAUCCCAUUGGCUGGUAGCAUAGUAGUUGAAUGCUGGUCUCAUAAUGUUUCAAACCUUGACAUCUCCUUGAAAACUUUCUGAUGCAGCAGAGAGGAGAGUACUUGAUAAAUACCUUGUGUGGAGGGGGGCCUGUACUGGUUAUCAAAUUAUAUAAAAAAAGAAAAUAUUGGCUUCAGACAACGUUUUUUUCUUCAUCUUAUAUAUCCAUAUAAUACAAAAUAUGUAUUCUGGAAUUAUCCAUUUACCUUCUUUCUUUAUUUUCACACUUUUUUUUUAGUCUCUAUACCUUUGGAAUGUGCUAUAUAAUAUCAUUCUUGCUGCAGUUCAUCUGAUCUGAAUAUUCAUUACGCGGAUUGUUUUCCAUUUACCUUCUUUCUUUAUUUUCACAGUUUUUUUGAGUCUCUAUACCU